rnacentral:rRNA from 1 species
AUGAAGUACCUCCGUGAGCUGAAGGAGUGCAAACCAUAUCAGCCGCCACGACAAGCAGCAGCAACACCAACUAGAAGAAGUACACGGUGGAUCCCCCCGGCUCCUGGGGUAGCAAAGAUAAGAGUUGAUGGUGCGGUAUCCAGAGAUCUUAACGACAGAACUGUCAGAGCGGUGUGCAGAAAUUCAGAAGGUACGUUUCUGGGAGCCUCUUGCAUGAAAUUUUGUGGUCUGACUGAUCCAGCAACUCUGGAAGCGGUGGCAUGCCGUGAGGCACUAGCGCUGGCUGCUGAUCUCUAUUUGGAUAAUGUGGUGAUCGCUUCCGAUUGCCAAGGCGUUGUUCGAGAUAUCCAGGAUGGAACAGGAGGAUCGUAUGCUACUAUAGUUAAGGAGAUUAAUGAGACUGUUACCGUUUUUCAGCAGUGUUCCUUCAUCUUUGAAGGGAGAGAAACAAAUGUCGAGGCACAUAACCUUGCUAAGCAUGCUUUUGGUCUUGGGUCCGGGCGCCACCUGUGGCUUUUAAACCCGCCAGACAUCGAUUGUAUCCCUAUGAUUAUUGAGUGA